rnacentral:misc_RNA from 1 species
GAAAUGCGAUAAGUAAUGUGAAUUGCAGAAUUCAGUGAAUCAUCGAAUCUUUGAACGCACCUUGCGCUCCUUGGUAUUCCUUGGAGCAUGCCUGUUUGAGUAUCAUGAAAUCUUCAAAGUAAAUCUUUUGUUAACUCAAUUGGUUUCUACUUUGGUAUUGGAGGUCUUUGCAGCUUCACACCUGCUCCUCUUUGUUCAUUAGCUGGAUCUCAGUGUUAUGCUUGUUUCCACUCGGCGUGAUAAGUUAUCUAUCGCUGAGGACACUGUAAAAGGUGGCCAAGGUAAAUGCAGAUGAUCCGCUUCUAAUAGUCCAUUGACUUGGACAAUACUUUUAUGAUCUGAUCUCAAAUCAGGUAGGACUACCCGCUGAACUUAAGC